UACGUAUGGGGCGAGCGUUGUUCGGAUUCACUGGGCGUAAAGGGCUUGUAGGUGGUGGGAUAAGUCGGAUGUGAAAUCCCUGGGCUUAACCCAGGAACUGCAUUCGAAACUAUUCCGCUAGAGUACCGGAGAGGGAAACGGAAUUCCUGGUGUAGGGGUGAAAUCUGUAGAUAUCAGGAAGAACACCGGUGGCGAAGGCGGUUUCCUGGCCGGAUACUGACACUGAGGAGCGAAAGCUAGGGGAGCAAACAGG
rnacentral:rRNA from 1 species